rnacentral:rRNA from 1 species
GACGUAGGGUGCAAGCGUUGUCCGGAUUUAUUGGGCGUAAAGAGCUCGUAGGCGGCUUGUUGCGUCGACUGUGAAAACCCGCGGCUUAACCGCGGGCUUGCAGUUGAUACGGGCAGGCUAGAGUUCGGUAGGGGAGACUGGAAUUCCUGGUGUGGCGGUGAAAUGCGCAGAUAUCAGGAGGAACACCGGUGGCGAAGGCGGGUCUCUGGGCCGAUACUGACGCUGAGGAGCGAAAGCGUGGGGAGCGAACAGG